GUACGGGUUGUGAGAGCAAGAGCCCGGAGAUGGAUUCUGAGACACGAAUCCAGGCCCUACGGGGUGCAGCAGGCGCGAAAACUUUACAAUGCCGGCAACGGCGAUAAGGGGACCUCGAGUGCCAGGUUACAAAUCUGGCUGUCGUGAUGCCUAAAAAGCAUUGCAUAGCAAGGGCCGGGCAAGACCGGUGCCAGCCGCCGCGGUAACACCGGCGGCUCGAGUGGUAACCGUUAUUAUUGGGUCUAAAGGGUCUGUAGCCGGCCGGAUAAGUCUCUUGAGAAAUCCAGCAGCUCAACUGUUGGGCUUUCAGGAGAUACUGUUCGGCUCGAGGCCGGGAGAGGUGAGAGGUACUUCAGGGGUAGGGGUGAAAUCUUGUAAUCCUUGAAGGACCACCAGUGGCGAAGGCGUCUCACCAGAACGGACCUGACGGCAAGGGACGAAAGCUAGGGGCACGAACCGGAUUAGAUACCCGGGUAGUCCUAGCCGUAAACGAUACUCGCUAGGUGUCGGCCACGGUGCGACCGUUGUCGGUGCCGUAGGGAAGCCGUGAAGCGAGC
rnacentral:rRNA from 1 species